rnacentral:tRNA from 1 species
ACAAAGUGGGUGGGGUGCGCUGAGGGGUGGACCAGCAUUGCCAGAUGUUCAGGAAUGUUGAUGAGACAGGAGGGUAAGAAGGGGAACCUUCCUUCAGGCAGAAGAACAGCAUGUGGUGAAGGUGGUGAAGAGCCUGGCCCCUCAGGAUGAGGGGUUCACAGCUAAGGGGUUGCCUUGCAUCUCAAAGAAGACUUUGGACUUGGACUUUUCAGCAAUGCUGAAACUGUUAAGACUUUGAUGACUCAGUUGGUUGAAUCCAUGGAUGAAGAACAUGGAUAUGGAGGGUCAGCUACACUUAUCUUUUGGAGAUAGGUCCUGAAGUACAUGUGGAUAAAAUAAUAUGAUGUCUAGAACUGGCUUCAAAAUCAUCCAGGAGAGAAGUGCCAGUAACCUUACCUAGAAUGUGGCUCCUCAUCUGGAGAAAUUCCACCCAAGUCUCCCAUGGAAGUUACUGAAGUUCCUGUGAUGCAGUGGCAGAUUCUCAGCACUUGGCUCUUGGCCUGACCUGAAUCUAAUGUUUACUUACCUUUAUGUCAGAGCUUUGGGAGGCUCGGGAAGCUGUCUGAAAUCCUUGAGCACUGCCAGAUCUUGGAGAUGAAGAGACACAGUUGUGUGGUAUGCGAGGAGAGGAAGCCAGCAGAGAACUGACAUGCCGCAUUCUUUCAGAGCUCCAGCUGGCAAAAGGCUGCAUUCCCUGAACACCACUGCCAAACCUCCCAGGUGGCAGUCUCCACCCUGGGUCCAGUCUUCCCCUGGUGGGGUGGAAAGACGUUCCAGGUCUAUCUUCCCUGUAACUAGAGGUGCUAAGAGGUCAGCUGUGCAGGAGAGUGCCUUAGACUUCUGAAACCUCAGCAACCUUCAGUACAGAAUUGGAUGUAUCUCCCUAGUGCUGUCAGAGGGGAUAUGUAUUUAACAUGCUUAAGAGUUUCUUAGAAUAUUACCCUCCUUCCUGUGCAGUUUUGUGGUUUUUAUCUUUCCUAACGACUUAGCCUUCUGCUUCCUACUUUUGGUUGUUAUUUCUUUUUUCUCUAUAAUUAGAUUCAGGAAAAAAAACCAUCAAAGACUUGUGUCCUGAGAAGUUAGGGAAUCUCCUUGGAAAGAAUCUGAAAAGGAGGAAUUCAAUGUUUGUUGACUGAAUUAAAUAGUUUUAUGUUGAUCUGAAUAGAGAAGUAAAACUAUCAAUAGGGUUUAAAACCCCUGGAUAUCAGGGAAACUAUUACUGAACGUAGUAGACUGUGUGUGUUACUUUAUUUCCAUUUUACAGGUUAAGAAAUUGAAGGUCAUGAAGUUAAAUAAUUCUAAGUGCCCUUUGUUAGUGCUUUAAUUAUCUUUUUAAUCUACAAUAGGGUCACUAUAUCUUUUGGUUUCUCAUUUCUUUUGGGCCAAUAUCUGUUAUUUACAAGCGAUAUUUUGCUCAGAACCUGUCCAUUUCCUACAGUGUUUUAAAAUUUACUGUCCUACACUUAUACCUAGUAUUUGCCUUGGGAUUUAUGUGUUUUAACUUUGUAAAUCAAUUUUAUUAAGGCCUACCUUGCACAUGAUCAAUUAUGCCUGUCUUAAGUGCAUGGGUCUGUGUGUUAUGACAAAGGUAUGGUAUAUGUACCUGUGUAUCAGUGCAUUCAAGACAUAGAACAUUUUUGUCACCCAUAGAAGAUUUUUUUGCUCUUUUAUGGUCAGCUCCCACCUCCAUUAAUCUGUUUUUUGUCAAUUUAGAUAUGUUUUCCCUUUUCUAGACUCAUAUAAAUGGAAUCAGACUGCCAUUCUCUUAUUUGUCUAGCAGUCUUAGAUUGAUCCACACUAUUGGCUGUAUUACAAAUUUGUCUUCUUUUUAUUGCUGUGUAGCAGUCUACCAAAUGGAUGAAUAUACUACAGUAUGUGUAGCAUUCUCUUGCUGUUUUCAGGGAUCACUGUGAAUAUGUAUUAGAUAGGCUUCAUACCAAAUUAUCACAAAACUUAGUGAUUUGAAACAAUAAAAAUAUUUAUAAUCUCACCUUUUUGUUGUGUCAGAAGCUUGGGUGCAGUUUAGCUGGCUGCUUCUGCUUCAUGGUUUCUUACAGAGCUGUGAGCAAAGCAUGGGCUGGGCCGCUCAUUCCUGCACUUGCCAUUAUUUGGUAAGAUGUGGUUUCUUGCUGUCUGCUGGAAUGAAGGCUUCCAUUUUCCUCCUGGCUGUUGGCCAGAGGCAUCACUCAGUUCUUGUCAUGUGGGCCUUUCCAUAGAGACACUCACAGCUUAGCCACUAGCUUCCUUAAAGCCAGUGAGAUAGAGACGGAGAGAAAGAGAGAGAGAGAGAGAGAGAGAGAGAGCGCUCAAACAAUAUGAAAAGCCUAGAAUUUUGGAACUUAAUCUUGGGACUUACAGCUAAUCACUUUUGUCAUUUUCAUUUGCAAGUAGGUCACCAAGUUCAGCCCAUACUCCAGAGAAGGUUAUUUCGCUAAUAUUUGAAUUCUAAGCAGUGGGGAAUCAUUAAAAUCCAUUAAGACAGAUUCUAGGGAGGUAGAGGCUUCCUACUAUGGUAUACAACUGCUGUGAACAUUUGUGUACUAGUGCUGUGGUUUGGAUACAUGUCUCAAGAUAUGUUUCCCAAGGUCCUUGUACUAAGGCGUGAUCUCCAGGAUGAUGCUAUGAGAGGUGGUGGAACACUUAGGAGGUGAGACUUCAUAGCAGGUCCUUAGGUCAUUUGCUGGUGUGUCCUUAAAGGAAUGUGGGACCCUGGUCUCACCUCUCUUUCUGUCUGGCUUUGCAUCUUGUCUCAUGAGAUGAGCAGUUUGUUUUUCAGUGCAUUCUUGCCUUAAAGUGUUAUCCUCUUCAGGGAACCACAGAAAUAAGGCUGCUGACUUUGAACCUCUGAAAUGGUAAGCCAAAAUAAACUUUUUCUCUUAGGUGUGGGUGUAGCUCAGUGGUAGAGUGCUUGCUUAGCAUGCAUGGGGCCCUGGGUUCCAUCCCCAGUACUACAAAAAACAAACAGAUCCCCCCACUUUUCUCUCUAUGAGCUAAUUGUCUUGAGUAUUUCAUUCUAGUGAAAGCUGACCAAUAUAACAUGUCAUUUCUCUUAGGUAAAUGCCUAUGAAUGGAAUUGUUGCAUUUUGUGAUACUUUACUUUCUCUCUCUCUCUUUCCUCUUACAGAGACCAUCUGUAUUGUCAGUCUUUUUAAAAUUUCAGGUAUUAUAAGGAAUGUGAAAAUGGCCAUUAUUGUGAUUGUAGUUUGCAUUUCUCUGAUGAUUAAA